rnacentral:rRNA from 1 species
UACGGAGGGUGCAAGCGUUAUCCGGAAUCACUGGGUUUAAAGGGUGCGUAGGCGGAAUAUUAAGUCAGUGGUGAAAGCCUGUCGCUUAACGAUAGAACUGCCAUUGAUACUGAUAUUCUUGAAUUGGGUUGAGGUUAGCGGAAUGUGACAUGUAGCGGUGAAAUGCAUAGAUAUGUCAUGGAACACCAAUUGCGAAGGCAGCUAACUGGGCCUUGAUUGACGCUGAGGCACGAAAGCGUGGGGAUCAAACAGG